ACAAUAGCUCAGAAAUGUUGGAUGAUGAUCUAAAUUACAAGAGAUGUGAAUCCUCAUGGAAGCAAUGUAUGGUUGGUGGCUUUGCGCUAUUGGGAGUAAGAUCUUACCAUUCAAGAUGGUCAGAGUGCCUAGCGUUGCAAACUUGCAGCAAUGUCAUUUUGAGAUAUCAACUGUGCACCUCAUACCAGAUGAAUGGGGGAUUCAGCGAACCAUUCUAAUCGGCUAUCAUUAGGCCUCUGAAUUUCUGCGCAUUUUUUU
rnacentral:misc_RNA from 1 species